UAAUANAUGCAAGUCGAGCGAGCGGAACCAACAGAUUUACUUCGGUAAUGACGUUGGGAAAGCGAGCGGCGGAUGGGUGAGUAACACGUGGGGAACCUGCCCCUAAGUCUGGGAUACCAUUUGGAAACAGGUGCUAAUACCGGAUAAUAAAGCAGAUCGCAUGAUCAGCUUUUGAAAGGCGGCGUAAGCUGUCGCUAAGGGAUGGCCCCGCGGUGCAUUAGCUAGUUGGUAAGGUAACGGCUUACCAAGGCGACGAUGCAUAGCCGAGUUGAGAGACUGAUCGGCCACAUUGGGACUGAGACACGGCCCAAACUCCUACGGGAGGCAGCAGUAGGGAAUCUUCCACAAUGGACGCAAGUCUGAUGGAGCAACGCCGCGUGAGUGAAGAAGGUUUUCGGAUCGUAAAGCUCUGUUGUUGGUGAAGAAGGAUAGAGGUAGUAACUGGCCUUUAUUUGACGGUAAUCAACCAGAAAGUCACGGCUAACUACGUGCCAGCAGCCGCGGUAAUACGUAGGUGGCAAGCGUUGUCCGGAUUUAUUGGGCGUAAAGCGAGCGCAGGCGGAAAAAUAAGUCUAAUGUGAAAGCCCUCGGCUUAACCGAGGAACUGCAUCGGAAA
rnacentral:rRNA from 1 species